rnacentral:misc_RNA from 1 species
AAAGUCGUAACAAGGUUUCCGUAGGUGAACCUGCGGAAGGAUCAUUAGAAAUCGAAAAAGGCGAUGGGCCGAGGGUGCGGGGAUGUGGGUGCGGUGGGCGAGGGCGCAAUUGGGCGCGGGUGGGCGAGGGAAUAAGUGUGCGAUGGGGGCCACAUGGCCAAACAACACACACACACAACACACAUGAUGAUUUUAUUUUAAAUUAUCCUACCACUUUUAACAACGGAUCUCUAGGCUCUU